rnacentral:rRNA from 1 species
AAUCCCAAGCAACUGCGAUUGCUUCAGUAACGGCGAGUGAACUGGCACUACACAUGGCUCAACCUGAAUGAGAUUCCACCCGCACUGUUUCGGCAGCUAGCGGUCGGCUAUCGUGGGUUUCACCUGAUGCUGUGGGCUUUGGAGUGGGCAGCGGUGCAUGUGACUGGCUGUGGUACCAGGAAGGGCCCUGGAAUGGCCCACGACAGAGGGAUACUGUCCCGUACACCCAGCGUGUGCCACGGCCAUCACGGUGCUGCUGUUCAUAUCCACGAGUAGAGCGGCUUGGGACUGCAGUUUGAAGUGCGGGGUGUAUCCACCGCAAGGAGCAAUACCACCAUGGGACCGAUAGCGCACAAGUAGAGUGAUUGAAGGAUGCAAAGGACUUUGCAAAGAGGGUUAAAAGUCCCUGAAGCCUCGGCAGGAACGGCGGUGUGCGGUGCUGUGGAGAAUCGAGUCCGGCCUGCUUGGCCUGUGCAAACGGGUGCAUCGGUGUUGCAACGUCAACCGCACCCCGUGUGAUGGAUGAUGCCCCGAUGGUGACCCCGCGCACACCGCGCCUCAGGCCGGGUGUCGCCGUUGUGAAUGUUGGCUGCGUGACUGUCCCUAGGGAACACACCCCGUGUGUGCAACUGUGUGCGGGAACCUCCAGCAGGCGCACGGCGCACCGAAUGACUGUCGUAUACCAGGCAACCUUGGGCCAGCCCGCUGCUGGCCACUGAGCCUACCUCUCAAGGGGUGGACGCAGUCGUGGCAGCAAUGCGGUGGCAGAAAGCCUGCCAGGGCCUGAGGCUUGCAGUGAUCUCACAGAGCAAAGUGUGCAUGGAACGGUACAGCCCCGCGCGUGGCCGCUGAGCCUCGGACACCUAUCGGUUUGCCUCGGUGCGUACAAUGUGACUACCCCUGUCGGGGAGGAAGCAGAGUCCCACGGACGGUACAACACAACAGGGUUAUGAGUGCGCGAUGUGCCCGGGCGGUGGUGGCCCCGUCCAAUGUGCAGUUGAGUGAAUCCGGUGCUGAACCUGGUGUGUCUGCGGGCAUGCCAGUCACUGUCGCCCAGUCAUGGCUCGGGGCAGACUGGUUCUUGGUGAUUGCACCACUUCGUUGGUGGUCACUGGGAGUCGGCCGGCCCCCCAGAUGGUGCACGGUGCAGAUUGAGGCAGCGGUGCCUGGUGCAGCAGUGCCGCACUCUGCCCGUCUUGAAACACGGACCAAGGAGUCUAUGGAGCUUGCAGGUUGGCUGGUGCACACAAGACCGGCAAGGCAUGGUGAAAGCAACAACCCAGAUGGUGCACGCUUACGGGUCUGCUUGAGGGGGCAGCUCCCGGCCGCGGUGAAUGCGUUGUGUCUCUACCGAUUCUCCUGUCGGGGCGUGGAAGCAGAUUUACAAGGCUUGCCGCUGUGCCACGGGACGCCUUCUCACAGCCCGUGACUGGUGCUACUGCUGCAUGGGACACCGGGCCUGAUGUCCAGCGGACAGGGUUUUGAGUGAAUGCAAGGUCCAUGGGACCCGAAAGGUGGUGAACUAUACCGUUCCAUGACGAAGCCGUGGGAAACUGCGGUGGAGGUCAGUCGCUGUUCUGACGUGCAAAUUGUGUAGCCUGAGUGUGGCAUAGGGGUGAAAGGCCAAUCGAACCAUCUAGUAGCUGGUUUCCCU